rnacentral:rRNA from 1 species
UACAGAGGUCUCAAGCGUUGUUCGGAUUCAUUGGGCGUAAAGGGUGCGUAGGUGGCGCUGUAAGUCGGGUGUGAAAUUUCGGAGCUUAACUCCGAAACUGCAUUCGAUACUGCGGUGCUUGAGGACUGGAGAGGAGGCUGGAAUUUACGGUGUAGCGGUGAAAUGCGUAGAUAUCGUAAGGAAGACCAGUGGCGAAGGCGGGUCUCUGGACAGUUCCUGACGCUGAGGCACGAAGGUCAGGGGAGCAAACGGG